UACGAAGGGGGCGAGCGUUGUUCGGAAUUACUGGGCGUAAAGCGUGCGUAGACGGUUACGUAAGUCGGGUGUGAAAGCCCCCGGCUCAACUGGGGAGGGUCACGCGAUACUGAUCGACUCGAAGGCAGGAGAGGGUAGUGGAAUUCCCGGUGUAGUGGUGAAAUGCGUAGAUAUCAGGAGGAACACCGGUGGCGAAGGCGGGUCUCUGGGCCGAAACUGACGCUGAGGAGCGAAAGCGUGGGGAGCAAACAGG
rnacentral:rRNA from 1 species